rnacentral:rRNA from 1 species
UUACGCUGUUAUCCCUAAGGUAAUUUAAUCUUAUAAUCAAAAUAAAUGGAUCAAACAACUAUAAAUCAAUAUAACCAAAACCAAGAGGAGUUAAAUCAUUCCUCUCAUCACCCCAACAAAACAAAAAGCCCACUCACCAAUAAAUAAAACAAACAACCAAUAAAUGAAUAAACUAAUAUGUCAAACUCUAUAGGGUCUUCUCGUCCCAUAAAAACAUCUAAGAAUUUUAACUCAAAGACCAAAUUCAAUAAAAUAUUCAACACUAAGACAGCUCGUGCCUCGUCAAGCCAUUCAUUCCAGAUCACAAUUAAAGAACUAAUGAUUAUGCUACCUUUGCACGGUCAAAAUACCGCGGCCCUUCAACUUAAUGUCAGCGGGCAGGCCAUACUUCAAAAACUAACAAGAAAAGAUGUUUUUGAUAAACAGGCG